ACAGUGAUCAAUGCACACAAGUGACCUAGCUGUCCUUGGCCCAAGUCAGGGUGCUUCUGAAGGGCUAUUUUAACCACGGAGCUCCUGGGUUCUGUCAUUGGGCCUACAAAGACAGCUCAGUGAUUGUCUAAUUGGGUCUGUAUAGGAGCCUCCACUUGAAGAGAGAGCAAAGCCCAGACCUGAACAGCAAGGAGUCAGCCCUUGGAUGAGGAUGCACACUCCAGUGCUGAGGAUUGAACUCAGGGCCUCACGCCUGUGAGGCAAGCACUUUAUCACUGAGCCACAACCCAAGCCCACUCUGUGAGACCAAAAUGAAUAACAGACACCAUCAGUUGUCAGAGAAGGUGGGUUCCCUUGUCCCCCUAGAGAAGGCCAACCUGCCUAGCUCAGCUCCUCCCUGGACAGCAUUUUCCCUGUGCCUGCCUCUCCUCAUUCCAACUUCCCAGCAGAAGGCCGGGACCCACUGGCUCCAUGCAGGAAUGAGACCUUCAGGGGAUGCGAGAGUGAACUGCCACUCCUGCUACUGCAGGAAAUCCCAAGCGGUGAUGGAGGUAUGAGCCAGGCUCCCGCUAGGUGCUCCACAUGUGCAACCCCAUUUAGGCCUCACCAGGACCCUGAAAGGUAAGCACAGCUCACCCCGCAUUUUCAGGUGAAGGAAGAGAGGCUCAGAGAAGGCAAGACCCUCAGAGAAGGUAAUCACAGGCAGGGAUGUGACAGAGCCUGUUCUAUGCCAACCUCAGCAGAUGGCAGUACUUGGAGGGUCACACACAGACUGGUCACUGAGCACAAUUGCUCUCCCAGAGCACAGCAGGUCUCUGCCUCCCGAUGGUGGGAGUUCAGGCUCACACACACAGCUCCUUCCAUGCCAAGCGGUCGAAAUGCCAGGCAGUUCUCUGUAUUGAACUCAAACCCCUCUCCUUGUAACCUCACAGAAUUAUCGAGCACAACAGCCCUUUAAGCCUUGCCAAUCCUCCACAUUCAUUUCUAGGUUUAGCCUCUUUCCAGCCAUCUCUUCUCCACUCCCCAGAAAGUGUUCCAGGUUUCUAUGUGGAAUCUGAGAUCCAGCAGAGUUGCUUUCUAAGGAGCAAAAUAAAUCAGGGAGAUCUAAUGUUUAGAAAAGGCAAAGUCAAGAUAGUAUGAGACAGAUAGAUGAUUGAGCUGAGAAAACAUUUUGAUAUCAAAGGAAAAAUUGUUUGGAUUUUUUUGUCCAUUAUGACCUAUAUCAGCUCUGAUGCUAAUUAUUCUUAGAAAGAAUCUACAGAAAUUAAUUUAAACAUUAGUAACAUUACUGGACCACGAGUUGAACCUCUCAAGGCAAGGUAGAUGCUCCACUGAGAGUAGACACAUUCCAGCAGAAUUGAGCAAAAACGUAAGCGGUGUGGCUUCCAAAUACUGGCAGAAUUAUAAUUAUUUAUGACAGGAUAGGAGGGGCACUGCCAGUGUACACUGCAGUCGUGUCAUAAUGGAUCUAGUGUUAGGAACUUAAAAUGACAUACCUCCUCAUCCCAGCUCCUUCCCAGAGCCAGGUUGCCCCUGGGUGGAGACCCAGGCUGAGGCAGGCUACUUGGUUGGAGUCAGGUCUGUGGACUUUCCAUGGAGGCCUGGUUGUCUUUCCAGUAACAGCCACGACUUCAAAGGGCUGCCAAGGAGCAGAUUGGGCAAUCCCCGGCCAGCCCAGGGUAGCUGUGUUGUGCGUAGGAGCCCUGCAUGCAGGGGUGUUGGAAACUGGCAAUUCCAGGUUCCAGAACCAAGUCCUGAGGGGAGGGAGGGAGACAGAUGGAGCCAAAGGACCUGCCUUGAACUGGAUCCCCCACGGCAAGAGGUUGCAGGCUCUGGGCUCAGGGAGCUCUGGCCCUGCCACAGGCCUGCUCAGGCCUGGCACACACCCGCCUCCUUUCCUCUUCAAAGAUGCCACUCCACCCACUGCAGGGCUCUUUCCUGGCUUCAAAAUGUCACAAUCUCCAUCUGUCUUUUCUUAUCCCUAUAGACCAGUCCCUCAUCCCUAAUAGUGGAAAUAACUACACAUCAGGUAACACCGUGGGAGGCAAGAAAAGCUCUGUAGAAGAGAAACAAGGUGGCAAAGCACCCUUCCUCUUCUUGAUGACACCAAGGAGACUCAGCCCCCUCCACACUCAGGAGGAGAGAAGGCUGGGAGGCAAUGGCCCUGCUCAGCUUAGGUAGCAUCAGUGAAGGGGCCGGAAACAGGGAGUCUGCGGCCUAGUCAACCAGUGUGAUGGAAGUGAUGGUCCCCAGAGGCCCUUUUGAAGACAAGCUACCUGUGAGUGUGAGCACCAUGUAGUCCCACUGGCAGGUGGUCACAGGAAUGGAGAUGAUGGCCAGCUGCUGCUCUCAGCAUCCACCACAUGUGAGGGACACAAGGGUUUGCUGAACAAGAGGAUGUUGUCAUAGUCUAUACCACUUGGCUCACCUCCCAGCUUCAAAAAUGAAGAAAACAAGUGUCAAACCAGAUGUGGUAGACAGGCCUGUAAUCCCAGUGACUCAGGAGGCUGAGGCAGGAGGGUCACAAGUUCAAGGUCAACUUCAACAACGUUGAAAUCCUGUCUUAAAAAAAAGUUUCAAAGCAAUUUUUUUUUGGGGGGGUGUUACUGGGGAUGGAACUCAGGGGCACUCAACCACUGAGCCACAUCCCCAGCCUUAUUUUCUACUUUAUUUUAGAGACAGGGUCUCACUGAGUUGCUUAGCACCAUUGCUGAGGCUGGCUUUGAACUCAUGAUCCUCCUGUCUCAGCCUCCUGAGCUGCUGGGAUUAUCGGCAUUCGCCACCGUGCCUGGCUCAAAACAAUAUUUUUCCAUUCACCAUCCUACUUCCACCAGAUGUUUUACAGGAUAAACAUUUUUCUUUUUACCUUUAAGAUUGGACUGAAAAGUAAAGAGCCUUACAGAAAACUUCAACCAACACGUGGAGUCCAUGGUCAAGUAUCCCCGCAGCUCUGAGUUUAGAAGGCAAGACCCAGGCCAGGGGCGCCUGGGCUGAUAGGGCGUCUGCCUGUGUGUGUGUGUGUGUGUGGGGGGGCUCUUCCUUCCACCUUUUCACUCUGAAAAUUGUCCUUACAAGGCAGAGGUCAUCUUCCCCAAAUUCAGAUGCUGUGAUACUAAAUAAAUGGCCAAGAAAAAGGAGCAGGCAACUUUCGGACAAGAGAACUAACUGCAUGCUGAAGAGACCCUUGUCACUUGGCACCACAGCCAGCUGCAAUGGCUAUCAGUUCUGGCAGGACUUUGUCAUGGCACAAAGGUCCCAGAGACCCGAAGUCAUCCUCAGUGACAAGGGCAGACCUGGCCGCAUGUCGUGACCCCCCAAGUGAGAACCUGAACUGCUCACAGGUGAACAUUCCCCUCGACUCCCUCGACUCCGCCCCUUCCUCCUGCCCGCCAGCAGCCCUGGCUGGGGACAAGAGAAACAAGGCUGCUGAGAUUCAUCCAGAGGACACCAUUACUGGCUGACAGAAGUUUAAGAACCCAGAGGCAAAAAAAAAAAAAAAAUGUUUAUUCCUCUUGCCAUGUCAAGUAUAAAAUACCCAAACAGUGCCUUUGUUGUCAGGUGCCACCAGGAAAACAUUAACACAGCAGUCACACAUUUUUGAUAAGAGUAAACUGUUGUCAGAUUUAUCUGA